AUUGAACGCUGGCGGCAUGCCUUACACAUGCAAGUCGAACGGUAACAGGUUAAGCUGACGAGUGGCGAACGGGUGAGUAAUACAUCGGAACGUGCCCAGUAGUGGGGGAUAGCCCGGCGAAAGCCGGAUUAAUACCGCAUACGACCUAAGGGUGAAAGGGGGGGAUCGCAAGACCUCUCGCUAUUGGAGCGGCCGAUGUCAGAUUAGCUAGUUGGUGGGGUAAAAGCUCACCAAGGCGACGAUCUGUAGCUGGCCUGAGAGGACGACCAGCCACACUGGGACUGAGACACGGCCCAGACUCCUACGGGAGGCAGCAGUGGGGAAUUUUGGACAAUGGGCGCAAGCCUGAUCCAGCCAUGCCGCGUGCGGGAAGAAGGCCUUCGGGUUGUAAACCGCUUUUGUCAGGGAAGAAAUCCUUUGGGUUAAUACCUCGGGGGGAUGACGGUACCUGAAGAAUAAGCACCGGCUAACUACGUG
rnacentral:rRNA from 1 species